rnacentral:lncRNA from 1 species
GCUACCUUAGAGCAGUACUUGGAGGACACGAUGAAGAAUCCAUCCAUUGUUGGAGCGCUAGGCACGGAUUCACAAUGGCUCAAUCUGGGCUGCCUCAGAACCCUGUCACAUGAGCAUGCUGGGGUGAUAUCUGUUUUAGCCCAGCAAGCAGCUAAGCUAACCUUAGACCCCACUGAUAUUCCCGUGGUAUGUCUAGAAUUAGAUAAUGGGGAUGUUAGAAGCACGACAGCAUCACACUGGCCGUGCACAAAAUGGCCUCUUGA